CACGAAUCUCUCCCCUGGCGCACGCCACACGUCUCGCGUACCGGCGCCCCGCUUCCGCUCCCGCGCCGCCCCCCGUCCUGCGCUUUUCGCCCCCCGUCCCCUAGCGCGAGGCUGCUGCGCGGGUCCCCCCCGCGCGCGAGCGCCCUCUCAUCGCCGCGGCGGGCCGAGCCGGCCACUGGCUUCGUGGCUAUAAAGCCACGCCUUCCCCGCUCUCCCUCUCCAAGCACAAACCAGACUCGACUUCUUCUCCUCCUCUUCCGGCGCCGGGACGCUCGGGACACACACACACACAAUCUAAUCUAUCCCCAGCUCGUCGAGCGAGAGAGCAGCGGCGCCGCACGUAGUGCGCAUCCGGUCCGGAAGCAUCCAGCCCAGCCGAAAGACGGCAGGAAGGAUAUAGCACAGUUGACAGAGCCCGAUCGACGCCGACGCCGGCGCGUUCCUUUUUGUUCCGGAAUAGAUUCUUGCGGUCGGUCGUGGGGUUUCGCCCAUUUUUAGCGCGAUCGUUGCCAGGCGGAGAGCUUUUGUUGGAGCGAGCCCGCACGGCGCCAGAGCCCCCGCGGUCCUUGUGCGUCUGCCCUGCCCGCGCGAGCCGAGGAGGAGGAGGGGCGGAGGGAGGGAGGGAUGGCCGGGAGCAUGCAGGCGGCGGACGCGGCGGGGCGGAUCAGCGCGCUGCUGUCGCUGCUCGCGCUGCGCCGGAUCCUCGCCGUGCUCCAGCCCUUGCUCCUGCUCCUGCUCCUGCCCUUCCGCUGGCGGGCGGCGCGCCAGGGGGACGCCGCCUCGUCCGCGGCGGACGCCGUCGUCUCGGCCUCCGCCUCCUCCGGGAAGAAGGCCAAGGCCGCCGUCGUGCUGCGGGUGCCCGCCGUCUGCUCGCGGAGGCAGGCCCUCGCCCGCCGCGAGGCCGCCAUGCGCCGCGCCAGGGAGGCCGGGCGGGACUACGAGCUCAUCCCCACCGCCCGCGGCGAGACGCUCUUCACGCAGUCCUGGUGGCCGCACGCCUCCUCCGUCAAGCCCAGGGCGCUUGUUCUUGUCAUGCACGGGUUGAACGAGCACAGUGGGAGGUAUGAUCAUCUGGCCAAACGGUUGAACGCCAUGGAUGUCAAGGUUUAUGGCAUGGAUUGGACUGGCCAUGGUGGAAGUGAUGGUCUCCAUGGAUACGUCCAAUCUCUUGAUCUUGCUGUCCAGGACAUGAAAAUGUAUCUGAAGAAGAUCUCAGCCGAGAACCCUGGCGUCCCAUGCUUCUGCUUUGGGCACUCCACCGGUGGAGGCAUCAUCCUCAAGGCUGUGCUUGAUCCGGAGGUCGAUGCUCUUGUCAAUGGCAUCAUCCUUACAUCGCCGGCUGUCCGUGUUCAACCCGCGCAUCCUGUCGUUGCGGCGCUUGCCCCAGUUUUCGCCCUGAUAGCGCCUCGGUACCAGUUCACGGGUUCGAGCAAGAACGGGCCGGCGGUGUCGCGCGACCCGGAGGCGCUGAGGGUCAAGUACUCGGACCCGCUGGUGUUCACGGGGUCCAUCCGGGUGCGCACCGGCUACGAGAUCCUCCGGCUCACGGCGUACCUGCAGCAGCACCUGCGCAGGGUCACGGUGCCGCUGCUGGUGCUGCACGGCGCCGACGACAUGGUGACCGACCCGGAGGGCUCGCGCCGGCUGCACCGGGAGGCCUCCACCCCGGACAAGGCCAUCCGGCUCUACGACGGCCUGCUGCACGACCUGCUCAUCGAGCCCGAGAAGGAGGUGGUGCUCGGCGACAUCGUGGACUGGCUGAGCCCCAGGAUCUGAUCACGCGGGUCGCCGCGCCGGCCGGUCCGUGGGCUGAGGCAGGCGGGUCGGGCCACAUCCGCCGAGCUCGUCGGGGACGGGAGAAACCUCCCGUCCCUGCCGGUGAUGACGCGGUCGGUCUGAUCGCCUGCGCCCGAGAGCGAGGACGGCGAGGAUGAUGAUGAUCUUCUUCAUCCUCCCUCCCGGCGGAGGAGGCAGUUUUGCGAGCGCGGAAGCUGCAUUAGUAAUUACCACUACUACUAGUACGUGUGGUGCGGUAAGGGUGACGACUGGUGGUGGCCAAGUUUGCUCUGCUCUCAGUGUGUCCCCGAGCUAUGUUUUUGACCCAUAUUUUUGUCCGGUAGGGUAAAACGUUCGAUCGUUCCUUGGAGUCGCCCGGUGUGGUGCGUGCUCAAUAAUGUAGACGCAUUCCUCCCCUCUCGCAGGGGUCGUUUUUCUGCGUCUCGAAAGAUUCUAAUCAGAAUCUGCGGCAGAAUCGAUUGAUUUCUUUGAAGGAAUUUCCUUGUCACAAUGUGUAUUUGUGAUCCUGACUGCUGCAGUGGAGCUUUCGGCUUUGGUGAUCCUGACGCCGCUGGCUGGCCGCGUCCCUGUGUCUAACUCGGCGCACAGCGUUCUCAGGAUGUCUCUGGCUGAACUUGCGGUUCUGUCCAAAGAUGUCGCGCUCGACUGCUUCAGGACGGCGAGAGCUGAGAGUGGACAACUUGGCAACACGCACAAAAAUCGGCCCGGAAAUGGGGAUGCGGCCAAGAGUCGUGAUUCCCCGAUCUACGAGUGGAUGGCCCGCUGCGAUGUGUGAGGUCAGGCAUCGGCAUCGGCUAACUCUACUGUGACGUGCGAGGUCGGCUAUCGGAUAUUGGUUUUCUUUGGCUCUAGCUCAUGACUAAUCCUGAAUUAAGCAAAGGAGUGUUUGUAUGACACGGUUAGAUUGACAAUAAAUGCAUUAGGAGAAGUAGCUCCAAUUAGCAUUUUUUAGGUGGAAUAGUUUUUUGGGUGGGUUAGAUGCAACUAGCUCUAACUGGUCCUAAUGUUUAGAUACUUUUGGCCUAUUUGAGCCCAAACUAGCUCUAAUCCAUGGAUGGAUCCAAACAGGAACAUUGACUGAUUAUCUCAGCUUCUCUAUGCCACAACCGCAGUCCUUGUCGGAAUGCUUCAAUGGCACCACAAAUUAUUAC
rnacentral:rRNA from 1 species